UAAGACUUUGACUUGCUAGAAGAAAAGGAGGGGAAAAAGUCCACCUGUUCUUAACAGAAGACCAUUUUUUGGCCAUUCUGCAGCUCAUUGCAAAAGGACAGCUUCCAAUAUGACCAGCUGGCUAGUGCACAAGAUGGGAAUACACCUAUGGCUUUGCUGGAUCCAGUGACACUUCAGUUUGCUCCUUCAGGAAGUGCUGGCUGAAUAGAGCAAGAAGUGUGACCCAACAGCAGCUAGAAUAAGAGAUGCAAUCAACCAAAGUCAUUUAAAAGUGUAACUACUAUGCUUGACAUCAGUAAUUGUUGUUCUUGUGCUUGUGCUGUAGAAAACCAAGAGAGACAAAGAUGCAAGUGGAGACAUGGAGCUGGACAUG
rnacentral:lncRNA from 1 species